rfam:Nicotiana sylvestris Nsyl_contig12130, whole genome shotgun sequence.
UGGACAGAUUAUUGUAUUCGACUGUAUUCGAUUGUAUUCACGGCGUGAAACAGAGGAUUACGCUGUUUUUAAAUGGAAAGUGAAUCAAUUAACAUAAUAGACUCCU